AGAGUUUGAUCCUGGCUCAGAACGAACGCUGGCGGCGCGCUUAACACAUGCAAGUCGAACGAGGUGCUUGUUUUCGGAUGAGUUACCUAGUGGCGCACGGGUGAGUAACGCGUGGGAACCUGCCCAGAGCUUCGGAACAACCACGGGAAACUGUGGCUAAUACCGGAUAAUGCAGCUUUUCGGAGUUGCCAAAGAUUUAUCGGCUUUGGAGGGGCCCGCGUCAGAUUAGCUUGUUGGUGGGGUAACGGCCUACCAAGGCUUCGAUCUGUAGCUGGUCUGAGAGGACGAUCAGCCACACUGGGACUGAGACACGGCCCAGACUCCUACGGGAGGCAGCAGUGGGGAAUCUUGGACAAUGGGGGCAACCCUGAUCCAGCGACGCCGCGUGGAUGAAGAAGGCCUUAGGGUUGUAAAGUCCUUUCACCGGGGAGGAUGAUGACGUUACCCGGAGAAGAAGCACCGGCUAACUCCGUGCCAGCAGCCGCGGUAAGACGGAGGGUGCUAGCGUUGUUCGGAAUCACUGGGCGUAAAGGGCGCGUAGGCGGCUUGGUCAGUCAGAUGUGAAAGCCCGGGGCUCACCCCGGAAUUGCAUUUGAUACUUAUAAUAAACGUCACCGAUCUUGAUCCAGUAGUCAGGAUGAUCCAGUGAGUAAUUUGAUGUGACCCAUGCAAGGUUUGUCAUUUACGUAGCGGAAGCUGGGGCAACAGAUAAUACCUGUUUCCAGCCUAAACGAUUUUCUAGCUCGGGGGCUUCCCUCGUCGGAGCUAACGUUUAAGCCCCCCCCUGGGAGUACGUCGCAGAUUAAACUCAAAGAAUUGACGGGGGCCCGCACAAGCGGUGGAGCAUGUGGUUAUUCGACGCAACGCGCAGAACCUUACCAGCCCUGACAUGGUGGUUGCGGUUCGAGACGGAUUCCUCAGUUCGGCUGGACCAUCACAGGUGCUGCAUGGCUGUCGUCAGCUCGUGUCGUGAGAUGUUGGGUUAAGUCCCGCAACGAGCGCAACCCUUGCCUUCAGUUGCCAUCGGGUAGGGCCGGGCACUCUGAAGGAACUGCCGGUGACAAGCCGGAGGAAGGUGGGGAUGACGUCAAGUCCUCAUGGCCCUUAUGGGCUGGGCUACACACGUGCUACAAUGGCGGUGACAAUGGGCAGCGAAAGCGCGAGCUGGAGCUAAUCCCCAAAAACCAUCUCAGUUCGGAUUGCACGCUGCAACUCGCGUGCAUGAAGGUGGAAUCGCUAGUAAUCGUGGUACAGCAUGCCACGGUGAAUACGUUCCCGGGCCUUGUACACACCGCCCGUCACACCAUGGGAGUUGGUUUUACCCGAAACCGGUGAGUUAACCUUCGGGAGACAGCCGUUCACGGUAAGGUCAGCGACUGGGGUGAAGUCGUAACAAGGUAGCCGUA
rnacentral:rRNA from 1 species